AACGAACGCUGGCGGCAUGCCUAAUACAUGCAAGUCGAACGAGACCUUCGGGACUAGUGGCGUACGGGUGCGUAAGGCGUGGGAACCUGCCCAUAGGUUCGGAAUAACUCUCCGAAAGGGGUGCUAAUACCGGAUAAUGUCUUCGGACCAAAGAUUUAUCGACUUUGGAUGGGCCCUCGUUGGAUUAGCUAGUUGGUAGGGUAAAAGCCUACCAAGGCGACGAUCCAGAGCUGGUCUGAGAGGAUGAUCAGACACACUGAGACUGAGACACGGCCCAGACUCCUACGGAAGGCAGCAUAGGAGGAUGGUGGACGAUGGGAGGAAGCCUGACCCAGUAAUGACGCGUAAGUGAUGAAGGCAUUAGAGAUGUAAAGCGCUAUUACCCACGAUGGUAAUGACAGUACCGGGACAAUAAGCGACGGCUAACUCCGUG
rnacentral:rRNA from 1 species